AUGUCCGCGAGGAAAUGUGUGGAGGACCUGAAGGCGAAUCUCGGAACAGACGACUAACCACCAUGUUGGCUGACAGAAUCGGAUAACCUUGCGAAAGAUGGGGAAGUCCAGUGCCACAAGAGGGUUCUGUAAGUUAUGAGGACUGGGUUCGAGGGAAAGUUUGAUGA
rfam:Bacillus cellulosilyticus DSM 2522, complete genome.